rnacentral:rRNA from 1 species
GACGAACGCUGGCGGCGCGCUUAACACAUGCAAGUCGAACGGAAAGGCCUGCUUUCCCUUGUGGAUUGCGGGUACUCGAGUGGCGAACGGGUGAGUAACACGUGAGUGAUCUGCCCCCAACUUGGGUAUAAGCCUGGGAAACUGGGUCUAAUUCCCGAUAGGACUGCAGGGUGGUGCCUGUGGUGGAAAACGAUUUUCUAGUGGUUGGGGAUGAGCUCGCGGCCUAUCAGCUUGUUGGUGGGGUAAUGGCCUACCAGGGCGGCGACGGGUAGCCGGCCUGAGAGGGUGGACGGCCACAUUGGGACUGAGAUACGGCCCAGACUCCUACGGGAGGCAGCAGUGGGGAAUAUUGCACAAUGGGCGGAAGCCUGAUGCAGCGACGCCGCGUGGGGGAUGACGGCCUUCGGGUGGUAAACUCCUUUCGACCGCGAGGAAGCCACCUGGUUGGAAGGGUGGUGACGGUAGUGGUAGAAGAAGCACCGACUAACUACGUG